rnacentral:rRNA from 1 species
UACGUAGGGCGCAAGCGUUGUCCGGAAUUAUUGGGCGUAAAGAGCUCGUAGGCGGCCAGUUGCGUCCGCUGUGAAGUCCUGGGGCUUAACCCCGGGCGUGCAGUGGAUACGGGCUGGCUAGAGGCAGGCAGGGGAGAACGGAAUUCCCGGUGUAGCGGUGAAAUGCGCAGAUAUCGGGAGGAACACCGGUGGCGAAGGCGGUUCUCUGGGCCUGUACUGACGCUGAGGAGCGAAAGCGUGGGGAGCGAACAGG